rnacentral:tRNA from 1 species
GAGGGUAUAGCUCAGGGGUAGAGUGCAUGCCUAGCAUGCACAAAGUCCCGGGUUCAAUCCCCAGCACCUCCA